GAUGAACGCUAGCGGCAGGCCUAAUACAUGCAAGUCGAACGAUACUUUCCAGCUUGCUGGAAAGGAAAGUGGCGCACGGGUGCGUAACGCGUAUGCAACCUACCUUAAUCAGGGGGAUAGCCCGAAGAAAUUCGGAUUAACACCGCAUAAAAUCACAGUACAGCAUUGUACAAUGAUCAAAUAUUUAUAGGAUUAAGAUGGGCAUGCGUGACAUUAGCUAGUUGGCGGGGUAACGGCCCACCAAGGCGACGAUGUCUAGGGGAUCUGAGAGGAUGAACCCCCACACUGGUACUGAGACACGGAUCAGAAGCCUACGGGAGGCAGCAGUAAGAAAUAUUGGGCAAUGGAGGCAACUCUGAACCAGCGAUGCCGCGUGCAGGAAGACAGCCCUCUGGGUCGUAAACUGCUUUUAUUCGGGAAUAAACCUACUUACGUGUAAGUAGCUGAAUGUACCGAAGGAAUAAGGAUCGGCUAACUCCGUGCCAGCCGCCGCGGUAA
rnacentral:rRNA from 1 species